rnacentral:rRNA from 1 species
AAUAUUGGACAAUGGGGGCAACCCUGAUCCAGCCAUGCCGCGUGUGUGAAGAAUGUCUUCGGUUUGUAAAGCACUUUAAGUAGGGAGGAAGGGCAGUAAGUUAAUACCUUGCUGUUUUCACGUUACCGACUUUAUAAGCACCGGCUAACUCUGUGCCAGCCGCCGCGGUAAUACAGAGGGUGCAAUCGUUAAUCGGAAUUACUGGGCGUAAAGCGGGCGUAGGUGGUUCAGUAAGAUGGGUGUGAAAUCCCCGGGCUUAACCUGGGAACUGCUUUCAAAACUGGCAAGCUAGAGUAUGGCAGAGGGUGGUGGAAUUUCCUGUGUAGCGGUGAAAUGCGUAGAUAUAGGAAGGAACACCAGUGGCGAAGGCGACCACCUGGGCUAAUACUGACACUGAGGUGCGAAAGCGUGGGGAGCAAAC